rnacentral:rRNA from 1 species
GACGAACCGAGCGAACGUUAUUCGGAAUCACUGGGCUUAAAGGGCGCGUAGGCGGGCGGCCAAGUCAGGGGUGAAAGCCCCCAGCUCAACUGGGGAAGUGCCUCUGAUACUGGCCAUCUCGAGGGAGGUAGGGGCGUGCGGAACUUCCGGUGGAGCGGUGAAAUGCGUAGAUAUCGGAAGGAACACCCGUGGCGAAGGCGGCUCUCUGGGACGGUACUGACGCUGAGACGCGAAAGCGUGGGGAGCGAACAGG